rnacentral:tRNA from 1 species
GGUUGUGGCUCAGUGGUAGAGCACUUGCCUAGCACAUGUGAGACACUAGUUUUGAUCCUUAACACCAACCUCAUAAAAAUAUAAAUAAGUAAAAUAAAGUUAUAAAAAAGCAACAUGGGGGCUGAGUUCAAUCCUCAGCAUCA